rnacentral:rRNA from 1 species
AGUGAACGCUGGCGGUAGGCCUAACACAUGCAAGUCGAACGGCAGCACAGUAAGAGCUUGCUCUUACGGGUGGCGAGUGGCGGACGGGUGAGGAAUACAUCGGAAUCUACUUUUUCGUGGGGGAUAACGUAGGGAAACUACGCUAAUACCGCAUACGACCUACGGGUGAAAGCAGGGGAUCUUCGGACCUUGCGCGAUUGAAUGAGCGGAUGUCGGAUUAGCUAGUUGGCGGGGUAAAGGCCCACCAAGGCGACGAUCCGUAGCUGGUCUGAGAGGAUGAUCAGCCACACUGGAACUGAGACACGGUCCAGACUCCUACGGGAGGCAGCAGUGGGGAAUAUUGGACAAUGGGUGCAAGCCUGAUCCAGCCAUACCGCGUGGGUGAAGAAGGCCUUCGGGUUGUAAAGCCCUUUUGUUGGGAAAGAAAAGCAGCAGGUUAAUACCCCGCUGUUCUGACGGUACCCAAAGAAUAAGCACCGGCUAACUUCGUG